GUACAAGAUUACAACAUAGCGUUAAUGCAUUGGAUCCCAUUGCAACUUUGCAGUUAAGCGUGCUCGGGCUAGAGUAGUAUUGGGAUGGGUGACUACCCGGGAAGUCCUAGUGUUUUACAUG
rnacentral:rRNA from 1 species